UAUUUUUUUUUUCUCCUUCCUUACGCCACGCGAGCAUAACGCGCAUGGAUCUGCGGGACACCUGCUUCAAAUAGACGAGGGGCAGAUCUGUGUGUUUUCAAAACAUCGCGCACGAUGCGUAUUCCUGAUGGAUGCUCACGAGGACGGCGUGGAUAUGGCAGGACGAUAAACAAGACGACAAUAUAUCCCUGGGUGUGAAAUUCCAACGGCGUAAAGCUCGUUCAACACAGCCCUUUCCGAUGCACCAAGAGUCGUUUCUCACAACACGUCCCAGGCUUGGAAUCUGCAAAAGUAAAAGACACCGGGACAUGUAACAAUGAAGUUCCGUUUCAAGCACACCGUGCACCACCAGUAGCAGUUCGUCGACAUUGUAUAUACAGUAAGCCUUAGCAGCUACGCUUGUCCGUCUGACGUAAUGCCUAUAGGUCACAUCACAACUGUGCAUCAAAUACGACGUCCUUCCAUUAUUCGAGAACACAACGUUGGGCGAACAGCCAAGUGUAUCUGUUUGGAACAUGCACAAGCCGCGGGCGCAACAUAAUCGACAGAGAAUUGAGCAUGCGAGUCGGAUAAGCGCGCAGAUAUCGAACCGCAUUGCGUCCCGGGGGAUUUGCAUGAUCAGUUUUUCCUCGAGGAGGAUGAACUGUCACGGAGAAACAAUUAGGCUGAAGAACGGGUGUCAUCGCCCCUUUAAUCCCGGAGACGACGCAGUCUUAUCGCCGCUCAGAGUUCACUGCUCCGGCUAAGAAUAGAGGGCUCUGCGACACGGGUAGUAGUUUAAAUAUGACGAGCGCCCCCCGAUGUCAAUGCGUGUGAACAAUCGGGUAACAUACCACCGCGCAACGCUACUGGAAUUCUAAUGGCAGCGGUGACGUUGGAUUCCUUUAUCCCUGCGAGGCCCAAGAAAAAAAGAAAAACAAGAUACCGGCUCGGACGGUCGUUGUGACGUCGGUCGUUGAGCGCCUGACAAAGUGAGGGCAAAUAUCUUCGAUCGCAACUUUAAUGUUGCAUUUCUUUUUUGCCACCGCGUCGGAAUUGUGGCUGUUGGGGGGUAUACGAAUGUUCAGACAGAAAGGA